rnacentral:rRNA from 1 species
AUUGAACGCUGGCGGCAGGCCUAACACAUGCAAGUCGAACGAGUGGCGGACGGGUGAGUAAUGUCUGGGAAACUGCCUGAUGGAGGGGGAUCACUACUGGAAACGGUAGCUAAUACCGCAUACCAUCGGAUGUGCCCAGAAGGGAUUAGCUAGUGGGUGGGGUAAAGGCUCACCUAGGCGAGGAUCCCUAGCUGGUCUGAGAGGAUGAUCAGCCACACGGGGACUGAGACACGGCCCAGACUCCUACGGUAGGCAGCAGUGGGGAAUAUUGCACAAUGGGCGCAAGCCUGAUGCAGCCAUGCCGCGUGUAUGAAGAAGGCCCUAGGGUUGUAAAGUACUUUCAGUCGGGAGGCGUUACCGACAGAAGAAGCACCGGCUAACUCCGUGCCAGCCGCCGCGGUAAUAC